rnacentral:rRNA from 1 species
UGCGAAGGGGGCUAGCGUUGCUCGGAAUCACUGGGCGUAAAGGGUGCGUAGGCGGGUCUUUAAGUCAGGGGUGAAAUCCUGGAGCUCAACUCCAGAACUGCCUUUGAUACUGAAGAUCUUGAGUUCGGGAGAGGUGAGUGGAACUGCGAGUGUAGAGGUGAAAUUCGUAGAUAUUCGCAAGAACACCAGUGGCGAAGGCGGCUACCUGGACCAGCACUGACACUGAGGCACGAAAGCGUGGGGAGCAAACAGG